UGGAAAGAAGCAGACCUAGAAAAAAGAAUGUGAGAUAAUUUGGGAUGUAGAUUUGGGAAUAAAUAUAAGAGGAUUGAAAGAAGCACCAGGUUUGGAAGCCUUUUCGGAAGAGCUGCUUGGUGCAAUGUUAGAAACAAGAGAGGGGUAAAAGCAGCACAACUAGAGCACACAGAUAGGGAGAAUUCAAAAAGGGCCAAGAAUAAAUUAAAAGUGAAUUCUAUUGCAAUUUAGGAGAAGGAAACGUUGAUGUCAGUGAUGAGGCAGAAUCCGCUGGCAAUGGCAGGUGGCCAUGAAUUCCUGUUUCCCCCAGAUAUUUCACCAAUAACCCACAUAAAAGAAAAAGUGGAGCUUCCUUACUAUAAUGCUAAGGAAGAAAGGUUUAACUCAUAGAUGGGAAUUAGCUUUUAUUUAUUUAUAAUAUCAAGCAAAACUAGUAACAGGACUGUGGAAGGGAGGAAAUGGCUAAGGAGCUAGAAGGGGAGAAUGGAAAAGAGAAAACUAUGGAUAAACUGCAAAAGGAAAGAAGAUGAUAAAGAAAAGGUAGAGAGGGCAAGGGAAAGAAUCACAAGGACUGUAGCUUUGAUAUAAAACUGUUUUGUCCUUUUGGUUUUGUUUCUCUGUGUCUCUCCUCCAUCCUUGCAUUUCACUUAACUUACUACGCUUCAUUUCAUAGGAUUUCCAGGAUCUCCCUUUCUGCAAUACGCUCUUGCUAGUCUGUCAUUUUGCUGGAUACAUUUUUUGAGCCUUAAAAUGUCACUUGUCCUUGAUCUACUUAAUGGGAAAUGAAAGUGGUGCAGUUAGCAGCAAUAUGUCGUAUCUUGCGAUUGUAAAUACAGACAUAAAAUCAUAUAAAUAAUUUAGGCAUGUUUUGGAGUAACCCAGAAAAUCAGCCUUUGUCUUUAUUUCUAACAUCUUUGGCACACACUCUUGAAUCAUCCAUUCAGCAAUAAAUCACAGCCAAACUGUUAUUGAGAAAGCUUCCUUCCCUGCCCUGAACAGUUGUAUAUUAAGAGUUUAAAAGGGCACAUUAUAAUGUAAAUUAUUGUCAGAGAGUGCCUUUUGACUGAUGUUGUAUCAAAUUAUUGCAUUAACCUUUCACUAAUUAAUGGACACAUUUCUACUUUGACCUUUUAGGGCCUGUUAAUCUGACAGUAAAUGUUAUAAUUUAGCCAUAAUUUUAUGAAGAAGAAUGGUAAAUUAGGGUAUGAGGAAAUUGCUCUAUGAGUCAUUGUAAUCUUGAACACCUCUGUGCAGUGUUUUACAAAAUACUUUUCUUCUGUUGCAAAACGAAUCACUCAGUAAAUCACAGUGUGUGUUUAUAUAAGUGUGUGUGUGUGUGUGUGUGUGUGUGUGAGAGAGAGAGAGAGAGAGAGAGAGAGAGAGAGAAGCCUAGUUGCCUGCAUGCAAGAUACUUUUUUGUGAGUAGAUUCUCACAAAAUGCCUUUCAACGCAGCCCAGCUUAGAUGGACACAAAAAUAGUCUGCAAGGAACUCCAGAAGCACCUCUUCAAGCUGGGGAAAUGAGCAGUAAAAUAGCAAGUUCAAUUCACUGUAAACAAUUGCAAAAUGAUGCACACUGAACCCAAAAUUUUAAUUUCACAUGUAUAUGAAUGGGGUCUGUGUUAAAUAGUGGGUAGACAUAGCAGAUGACGCAGCGAUUUCUCCAAAGCAGCUCUUUAUUUGUAAGCUGAAACAGAACUGAACAGCAAACAGCUCUGCCGGCCUGCUUUUAUAGGCAGCCGGCUGUCAACACUGUAGCAACAGCAACCCAGGGUUUCCCACCUAAAGUAACUGACGUGGACCUGAGUGAAAACUAUAUGCACGAUACUCCUGGUGGCCAGGGGGAGAACUUCAAUACACAACAGUCUGAACUGGCAGGGCUUCACCAGGAAUGUGACCUUAGGGUCAGAAUGGAUAGUUCAAUGAUUUGCCACCUCUUACCUGCGCCAUGCCCUUGUGGGACAGCCCCAGCCAAUCAGCUCUCUUUGUGGGUGUGGCCACUUGUGCGGCCGGCUGGCCCCCCCUCUCCCCAUCACCGGAUCAGCCAACUCACCCACCCUCUUUUCAUGCUUUGCUCAGAUAUGACCUUGCUAUGGACAAUUGUCGGUCGCCAUAUUGUUGGGGCCGGGUAGGAAUUUUUCCACUUGGCAAAUUGUCACUGGCCAUUUGGUUUUCGCCUACCUAACAGCAAAUGUCACACCUUUGUGUGAGGUCAGGCAUUGGGUAAGCCGUCGUUUGGUUGGAGGAGAGGUUGUAGCCUUAGCCUGCCCCUCCUCACCAAGGGUACCCUGUUAAAGGGAUCCAGGGUGUGAAUCCUGCCUGAAGCCUGGGCAUGGGCUAAGGCCGUGUCACAGACCCAAUGGGAACCCCUCAGGGUGCCCCUAUUUGAUGUAAGGCAUAGGGCACUCCUAUCAGUGGUCUACCCUUCAGUGCAGACGGGCAGGAGUCAAGAUAUAGCCUGGCAUCACCCCAAUGCCUAAGCCAAACCAUUCACAUCUGUAACCAAUAAAGUUGUGGCCUAUUUGAACCCAUAAACCAAAAUACUCUGUGUCCAUGUGCUUUAUUGUUCUCCUGGGAACUUUGUGGCUCAGGUGCGUCGGCACGCAAAUGUGGGUCAAGCGGAAAACCACCAAGACCCGUCUAGGACAAAACAAAUGGAAGUGUGGGGAAGCCCUGGGGCUACCAGUGGAAGCCAGGAAAAGAACUCUGGAGAAGUUAGGUGUGUUUACUGUUCUAGGAUAUGAUUGUGUUAUAUGACAAAGUGAAACAGCAUUCGGCUGAAUUGAUAGCAUAUGCAUAAGGGUGCCAACAUUAAUGCUGUGCUUUAUUUUUAUUUUUUAUUUUUGCAGCUUUUGUACCUGGUUCCAUCCAGCCUUUGCAACUGGCAUUAUUGCUGUUUUCCAGCUACCAGCCUUCAUUUUCCACAAGAACCUGGCAGCUGCUGCUCUCCUGCGGAUUCUCUUUGGGUAGGUGAUUGGAAACGCUGCCCCAGAACCAGGGCUGGUGUUACAGAAGCAGAAAUCUCAAAGGCUGCCGUACCCCACUGCUUAGGAACAUGAUAUUCUCACUUUGAAGAUGAUUACUGCUUCACAGCACAGGCUGAGAGAACAAGUUGCUGCACGGGGCCUAAUGCACAGUGCAGGCGGGGGGUGGGGGGAGCAGGUGGGGAAGAUCUUCCACACUCAUUAGGAGAAAAGCUUCAAAAGAUCCACACACACAUAUGGAUAUUAUUUCAUUAUUAGAAACAGAGUGCGUGCUAUCUUUGCUAAAGGUCUCCUCAAAAUGCCCCCCAACACACCCCACCCGAUCCAUGGCCAAAAUAACUUCAGUUCUGCUUAUGGGAGAGAGAGUCAGGGUGGUGCAAAUUAUUACAAUAAUAUAUAUUUGUUUAUAUCCCAACUUUUUCCAUGACAGGGCUCAAUAUGCUUUAGAGAUAAAAACAAGAACUGCUAAAAACAUAGAAAAAGCAAUCAUUAAAAAGCAAUUAAGCAUAGAUAGAGUUAAAACACACACCCCUGUUUAAAACAUACCAAUGAUUACAAUUAAAAGAGCAUGGCCCCAGCCCUUUCAUUAAAAGCAGGCAGUUCCCAAAACUCUGCUGGAACAAAAAGAUCCGUGGAAGGACAGCAAGGAAGGAGCCAUUCUAGUUCCUCUAGGGAGGGAAUCCCAAUGCUGCCUGGGAGCAACCACCGAGAAGGCCCUCUCGCGCAUCCCCACCAAACGUGCCUGUGAGGGAGGCGAGACUGAGAGGAUUUCGUCUUUCGGGUAGCUUGAACCUAAGCUGUGACUGGUGGCAGGAACCAUCCCCUCAGGCAAUGAAGCAAUAGCCAGGCUCUGGACGCAACCAGUCAGACCCCCUCUGCAAUAUCUUAGAAGCCAGGAAGGACAGGGGUUGAGAGGCCACGCGGUUGUUUGGGUGGCACGCAUAUUUAUGGUAUGAUAAAACGAAAGCACAAAAAGGAUUCCUGAACCACUUGAUAAGAAAAUCAAUCUACGAGGUAUUGAGAUAAGUACAAAAAUUUAUUAGAAUGGAGGACACCCUGGUGGCUCUCUCCCUUGGAAGCAAUUUUGGUUAAAAAAUUAAAUCUGAGAGGUGAUUGAGCCACCUAUAAGGACUUGUUAAUAGAGGCAGGAGAGCAACUAAAACUGAGAAAAUUUGAAGAUAUUAGAGAAUUAUUAACGGAUUGGCUACAGCAUCACCAAUUAAAUGAUUGAUUAAAAAAAAGGUUUUGAUACAGUGAGAUCAAGGUUUGAAAAAGAACUGCUGGAAAAUAAUGUGAAAGUGUUAUAAAAAUGUACAAAUUACUUUUAGAAUGGUAUACAAAAGAUGAAGAAGUUAAGGCAGUGAUGAUACAUUGGGCUAGAGAUUUUGGGUACAAUAUUCAACUUUCAUCUUGGGAAAAGUUAUGGAAAGAGGAAAUAAAGUUUACUGGAUGCUGUUUGUUGAAAGAAAACUAUACAAAAAUGAUGUACUAUUGGUAUCUAACACCGAGUAAAAUUGCAAAAAUGUACAAAACAAGUUCAAAUCUGUGUUGGAAAUGUAAUGGGAGGGAGGGUCCUUUUUACCAUAUGUGGUGGACAUGUACAUUGGUAAAGGCUUUCUGGGUAAUGGUAUAUAAUGAACUAAAGAAAAUGUUUAAAAAUACAUUUGUUAAAAAAAACAGAAGCCUUUUUACUAGGUAUAAUAGGUGAAGUGUUACCAAGAAAGGAUAAAAUACUUUUUAUGUAUGCAGCAACAGCAUCAAGAAUGCUACCAGCCCAGAGAUGGAAGGAAGGAGAAGUCCCAACCAAAGAAGAGUGGCAGAUGAAUCUGAUGGAGAUGCAGAGAUGGCGAAACCGAUGGGGAAGAUCCGAAACCAGGAAGAUCAAGUAUUUUCCAAAGACUGGAGUAAAGUUGUAAUUUAUUUAAAAGACCUCUGUAAACAGUUAAAAUCACUGGCAGGGAUGUAAUGACACUUGCAAUGUGGGAUUUUUUAAUGUUAAUUAUGGAUAUUUAACAGAUGGAUAACGGUAAAAGAUGC